GUCCUUGCCUUAAACUAUGUAUACUUGGCGUAGACGGACUCAACCCCGUCUGUGCCGAAGCUAACGCGAUAAGUAUACCGCCUGGGGAGUACGCUCGCAAGGGUAAAACUCAAAAGAAUUGACGGGGACCCGCACAAGCAGUGGAGCAUGUGGUUUAAUUCGAUGCAACGCGAAGAACCUUACCUGGAUUUGACAUGCAUAUGACGACGUUAGAGAUAACGUUUUCUCGCAAGAGACGUAUGCACAGGUGCUGCAUGGCUGUCGU
rnacentral:rRNA from 1 species